CCUUAUGCCAAGAGGACAAGGAAAAUAAUGAGGGCCUGAGGUAAGUAACCAUCUGUCCCCCGGGCCUUAGUUUGCCCAUGCCUGCCCUAGUAGGUAAUCUAUUCUGGUUAAGAUGGUGUUUAUAGAGCACAACUGCUCCCCUGGGACCCAUUUUUCCUCACUUGUUCAUUAACAUAGCACCCAGCUGGAAGAGCCUGAAUCCAUGUUGGCCCCCUAUCAUCCCCCAAUAAAGCAUGCCAAGAAAACCUCCCAUCUUUGAGGAGAUCAUAGUUUAUGCACUGUAUAUGUGUGCAGCUGAAUGAUCCAGUUCCCUCUAGGCAUGCCAAGUAGUAAGGGACAUGCAUUUCACAAUGUACAACACAAUACUGAAACUUCAUUUUAACCAUAAGUAUAUUUAAACCUGCUCCUUGAAAUCAUUCAGUAUUAGCAUCUGCCCCCUUAGUGGGAUCAUAAUUUAAACAUACCUUUUAUUAUUACCAACAGCCAUUUCUUGAACACCAUACAAAGUAUAGGUGAAAUCUCCUUUUAGGUAGUUCAAAAUAUUAGUGUAAAGGAAAAACUGAAUAGCUUUAUGCUUUAGGGAAAGUGAUAUGAAAACAUGACAAAGUAAUGCAGCUAAUAAAAUAAACAUUAAAUUAGAAGAAACGGGGAAUAAUAAGUAGAGAGUAUUCUUUAUGACUCCAGUAAUGCCAAGGGAAAGAAUUUAGAUUUCUUAACAGAAAUGAAAUGGAUCAGCAAUUUUAGUCAGUGAAUAUUAGGCAACAGAGCCAGCAAAGGAGAAACUAAUGGCUACAUAAAAUUAAUAAUCUGAUAUAGUUCAUGUGAAUUGUGUUCUUCUUUGUGAAUAGCAAUGGAAUAAAAGGGAGAGGGAGAGAUUUUUAGCAUUUCAAAUUUGUAUAUAUUUGUUUAAGGCAAUCUUUUACAGAAAAUGAAUGCUUUUUUCCAUCCCAUUCCAUUUUACAUGAUGUUUGAGCCCCAGUCCUCAUCAACACCAUCAUUCUCAUCACCUCUUCAUGCCAUGCUACAUUAUAUAGAUGAUAAUACAAAUCAAUGUUUUAAAUGAAGUGAUACAUUUGGGCAUGUGCUGCUGAGCACCAUUAUUAUAAAGUUACUAUAUCUUUCACUGUGGCUGAAUCAUUGAAAAAAUGUGUUUUGUCCCGCUCCCAGAUCACCUAUUGAUAAAUGGCAUUAUUUUUCUAGAUCAAAAGGGAAUUCUAGAGAAGAUUCUAGACAUAUAUUUCAAGUUGGAAAUUAAGUUUCUUGUUUCUUUAACUGGUCCUUUACAAGGCUACAUUUAAUCUCCUCGGUCCCAGUUUGUGGAUAAGAAACUGAUGCACUUUGCUGCCUCUGAACAUGGUUUCCAUUUUGCUGACAAAGUAAUUCCAUGCUUCUCUAGGGAACAAAAGGGGACAGAAAGAAAGAAACUAGAAAUCUGCUACUCAGUUACAAUGUUGUAACGUCAACAGCAUAGCUGAGAUAGUCUGGAAUAUUGAAAUUUUCUAAAUUGGACCCAUGAUCAAAAAAGAACAGUAGAAUAGAUGAAAGGAUGUCCAGGAACAAGCUCAGAGUUGAAGAAUUUCCAGGUGGAAAUAACCACAGUAAAAAAAAUCCCUAAAGAAAUUAAGAAUGCUAAAUCCACCAGACUGUCUAACUGACUCAAGAUUUCUCUACAGUUUGGCUUGCUAUGCCCACCAAUAUAGGAAGAUGGAAAGAAGUUUUUUGCCCUCUGGAUCAUUUUGCCCACCAAUAUAAUAUGAUGGAAGGAAGUUUUGCCUUUUGAUCUAGCUAGAAAAAGCAAGACAAAGAUGAACUAUGACCAUGACUAUGUAAUAAACUUUGUUUAUUAAUGUUGUUUCUUUCCAACCUCAGAAAAGGAUGGUAAUGUUUCCAAUGGCACUAGUGAUACUGUUUCAGGGACCAUAGCAUUACAUCAUUAAUGUAUUUACUAGCAGUCAUAUAUCUUAGCAGUAA